rnacentral:rRNA from 1 species
UGAGGAAUAUUGGUCAAUGGACGCGAGUCUGAACCAGCCAAGUAGCGUGAAGGAUGACUGCCCUAUGGGUUGUAAACUUCUUUUAUAUGGGAAUAAAGUGGUCCACGUGUGGACUUUUGUAUGUACCAUAUGAAUAAGGAUCGGCUAACUCCGUGCCAGCAGCCGCGGUAAUACGGAGGAUCCGAGCGUUAUCCGGAUUUAUUGGGUUUAAAGGGAGCGUAGGCGGAUUGUUAAGUCAGUUGUGAAAGUUUGCGGCUCAACCGUAAAAUUGCAGUUGAUACUGGCAGUCUUGAGUGCAGUAGAGGUGGGCGGAAUUCGUGGUGUAGCGGUGAAAUGCUUAGAUAUCACGAAGAACUCCGAUUGCGAAGGCAGCUCACUGGAGUGUAACUGACGCUGAUGCUCGAAAGUGUGGGUAUCAAACAGGAUUAGAUACCCUGGUAGUCCACACAGUAAACGAUGAAUACUCGCUGUUUGCGAUAUACAGUAAGCGGCCAAGCGAAAGCAUUAAGUAUUCCACCUGGGGAGUACGCCGGCAACGGUGAAACUCAAAGGAAUUGACGGGGGCCCGCACAAGCGGAGGAACAUGUGGUUUAAUUCGAUGAUACGCGAGGAACCUUACCCGGGCUUAAAUUGCAAAUGAAUUAUGGGGAAACCCAUACGCCGCAAGGCAUUUGUGAAGGUGCUGCAUGGUUGUCGUCAGCUCGUGCCGUGAGGUGUCGGCUUAAGUGCCAUAACGAGCGCAACCCUUAUCUUCAGUUACUAACAGGUCAUGCUGAGGACUCUGGAGAGACUGCCGUCGUAAGAUGUGAGGAAGGUGGGGAUGACGUCAAAUCAGCACGGCCCUUACGUCCGGGGCUACACACGUGUUACAAUGGGGGGUACAGAAGGCCGCUACCUGGUGACAGGAUGCCAAUCCCAAAAACCUCUCUCAGUUCGGAUCGAAGUCUGCAACCCGACUUCGUGAAGCUGGAUUCGCUAGUAAUCGCGCAUCAGCCAUGGCGCGGUGAAUACGUUCCC